CUGUCUUCCAUCACUCAAAAUUAUGCGAUCUUUCAAGGUAUUUGUUAGACAAUCAGAAAAACAUCCAGAUGGUAUCGUUAAUAAACAUAAAGGAGAGUUAAACUUCCGUGGAGAAGAGGCGAGAAAAAUUUAUGAAGAUAUCGUAACAGAAACUUCAUCGAACAAUCCUCAAGCUAUCCCCAGAAAAUCUCACUGCCUAAUAACGAAGAAAACUGGAAAACCCAAGGAUAAAAAUCGUUUGAAUAUCACGGCGAAUGUAAUUUUGAAAUCAAUCGAACAGAAUGAUUGGCAUUUUAUCGAACAAAACGUAACAAAAGAUAAUGUGAAUAGCACUGAUGAUUACGGAUGGACACCAUUGAUGUUGGCGGCGUACAAUGGAAAUUAUCGAAUUGUUGAAUAUUUAUUAAUAUCAGGAGCUGAUAAAUACCUGAAAGAAAAGUCUGGACUCACCGCACUGGAAUUGGCUCGCAAAAAAAAUCACCAGGGUGUCAUAUCGUUACUGACUUGUGAUGAAUUGAAAAUUGCGAGAAGAGCAAAAGUUCCUGACAAGGAAGAGAGAUUAAGUGAAUUUUAUUGUUCAAUUUGCAAGCUUAAUUUUCGAGAAACAACUAUGAGAAGACACGAGUCUUCGAUGCUCCAUAUUUUUAAUACAAAUCCGAAACUGCCAGAUCCUGUUUAUGGCAUUCCAAAGGGGAAUAAAGGGUAUCAAAUAAUGUUGAAUGCUGGGUGGAAAGAAUCGAAGGGUUUGGGGCCCUCUGGCAGUGGUCUGAAAUAUCCUGUGAAGACUAUCUUGAAACGAGAUCGAAAAGGACUUGGAGGAGAAGAUAAAUCCAGACCCAGGGUAACGCAUUUUCAGAGUAAUGAUGUCAAUGCAAUAAGACACGUCAGGCAAGAACGAGUAAUGAAGGGUAAAAGUUGGAGGAAAAAUAGAGAGGAAUUCUUGACGAGAGAAGCAAGGAGAGAUCGAGCUCUUAGACAAGCACUCUCUUGAUAUUUUUUUCUUGUCUCUUAGUAUUUAAGAAACGAGAGGCGAAUAAAAUCUGCAUAAAUGCAAUUUUUCAGAGUCAUGAAGGAGCAGAGGGAGAUGUUGGACUAUUUGCAGAAGGUCGAGGAGAAAGCUGGUGAGAUUUUAACUGAUAGACAGGAG